AGAGAAGAGAAGAGACCGAAUGCCAUCUUAAAAACCCAGCAAGAAGAAGAGGAAGAAGAAGAAAGAGAAAUUAAGGAAGAGAGUUAACAUACCUUGGAUCGACUGUACCCACAGGGAAAUUGAAUCACAGUGCGGGAAUCUACCCAACUCGGGGAAGUGACUUAUCUGAUCUUGAUUACCAAGAUGCUGAGGCCACGCCCUUUGUGGCAUACUAUUUUCAGAUGAUGGAAACCGGUGCUGAGGUAAGACUGGACUUUAGCAACGGUUGUGAAGCUUAUGUCGGCGAGAUGUCAGGAUUUUGAUGCGCU